AGUGAACGCUGGCGGUAGGCCUAACACAUGCAAGUCGAACGGCAGCACAGUAAGAGCUUGCUCUUACGGGUGGCGAGUGGCGGACGGGUGAGGAAUACAUUGGAAUCUACUUUUUCGGGGGGGAUAACGUAGGGAAACUUACGCUAAUACCGCAUACGACCUACGGGUGAAAGCAGGGGAUCUUCGGACCUUGCGCGAUUGAAUGAGCCGAUGUCGGAUUAGCUAGUUGGCGGGGUAAAGGCCCACCAAGGCGACGAUCCGUAGCUGGUCUGAGAGGAUGAUCAGCCACACUGGAACUGAGACACGGUCCAGACUCCUACGGGAGGGAGCAGUGGGGAAUAUUGGACAAUGGGCGCAAGCCUGAUCCAGCCAUACCGCGUGGGUGAAGAAGGCCUUCGGGUUGUAAAGCCCUUUUGUUGGGAAAGAAAAGCAGCAGGUUAAUACCCCGCUGUUCUGACGGUACCCAAAGAAUAAGCACCGGCUAACUUCGUG
rnacentral:rRNA from 1 species